UAUAAUUACAGAGAAAUCAUUAGCAGCUACCUGGUUGCUGGACGGGCAAAACCCCAGGGGGGCGAUCGCUUUGCUGCACAGACUUUUAAACAGAAGUGGGGGGCCCUGGGCUCCUGAGUGCGACACUGCAGGCAGGCGACAGACACAAUUACACAUACAAUUGGGGACAUUGUUUAUUAACAAAUACUUUAAAAGAUUCCAAGGAAAAUGAAAUGAAAGUGAAUAUAAAAACAACAUCGCACAUGAUUAAAGUGCCGCACACGGGAAUAAUGUGCAGAUAAAAUGACAGUUUCAACUUUCCCGUUACAUUUCAUUAUCGCUUCAUAGAUCACAUGGACAAUAUAGACGACCACUCACAGUGCGCAGUUUAUUCUCUGGGAUUUUUAUACUAGACCAUUUCAUACUGCUUUAAGUCUAUGGCUACGGGCACAUGUAGACUGGCACUAUGUCCUCCAUUAAACCUGUGGCGGUGCCUCAUAACGUCACUACCUCUAUUAAAUAUUGGUCGCAGUUCAUUGGUAUUCCAAGAAAUAUGCAGCUGGGCUUUUUCCCAUUGUGGUUUUUGAAUUCUAUUUCCAGUUUGGAAAAAUUAAUCGUUUCAUAUUCCAUUUAUGGAGGCAGAACAAAUUUUGCUGGAGAUGAUUCCGCUUUCAGAUUACUGGGGCAGAUAUCAUUAUAAAUUUCAGGAUGGACACAGAAAAAUUUGAAAUG